rnacentral:rRNA from 1 species
UCUGGUUGAUCCUGCCAGUAGUUAUAUGCUUGUCUCAAAGAUUAAGCUAUGCAUGUCUAAGUACACACGAAUUAACAGUGAAACCGCAAAAGGCUCAUUAUAUCAGUUAUGGUUCCUUAGAUCGUUAACAGUUACUUGGAUAACUGUGGUUAUUCUAGAGCUAAUACAUGCAAUUAAAACACGGACCUUUUGGAACGUGUGCUUUUAUUAGGCUAAAACCAAGCGAUCGCAAGAUCGUUUUAUUGGUUGAACUCUAGAUAACAUGCAGAUCGUAUGGUCUUGUACCGACGACAGAUCUUUCAAAUGUCUGCCCUAUCAACUUUUGAUGGUAGUAUCUAGGACUACCAUGGUUGUAACGGGUAACGGGGAAUCAGGGUUCGAUUCCGGAGAGGGAGCCUGAGAAACGGCUACCACAUCUAAGGAAGGCAGCAGGCGCGUAAAUUACCCACUCCCAGCUCGGGGAGGUAGUGACGAAAAAUAACAAUACAGGACUCAUAUCCGAGGCCCUGUAAUUGGAAUGAGUACACUUUAAAUCCUUUAACAAGGACCUAUUGGAGGGCAAGUCUGGUGCCAGCAGCCGCGGUAAUUCCAGCUCCAAUAGCGUAUAUUAAAGUUGUUGCGAUUAAAACGUUCGUAGUUGAACUUGUGCUUCAUACGGGUAGUACAACUUACAAUUGUAGUUAGUACUAUACCUUUAUGUAUGUAAGCGUAUUACCGGUGGAGUUCUUAUAUUUAAUUAAAUACUUGUAUUUUAUUUAUAUAUUCCUCCUAUUUAAAAACCUGCAUUAGUGCUCUUCAUCGAGUGUUAUUGUGGGCCGGUACAAUUACUUUGAACAAAUUAGAGUGCUUAAAGCAGGCUUCAAAUGCCUGAAUAUUCUGUGCAUGGGAUAAUGAAAUAAGACCUCUGUUCUGCUUUCAUUGGUUUUCAGAUCAAGAGGUAAUGAUUAAUAGAAGCAGUUUGGGGGCAUUAGUAUUACGACGCGAGAGGUGAAAUUCUUGGACCGUCGUAAGACUUGCUUAAGCGAAAGCAUUUGCCAAAGAUGUUUUCAUUAAUCAAGAACGAAAGUUAGAGGUUCGAAGGCGAUCAGAUACCGCCCUAGUUCUAACCAUAAACGAUGCCAGCUAGCAAUUGGGUGUAGCUACUUUUAUGGCUCUCUCAGUCGCUUCCCGGGAAACCAAAGCUUUUGGGCUCCGGGGGAAGUAUGGUUGCAAAGCUGAAACUUAAAGGAAACCAGGAGUGGAGCCUGCGGCUUAAUUUGACUCUUUCUCGAAUUUGGCUCUUUCUCGAAUCUAUGGGUGGUGGUGCAUGGCCGUUCUUAGUUCGUGGAGUGAUUUGUCUGGUUAAUUCCGAUACGAACGAGACUCAAAUAUAUUAAAUAGAUAUCUUCAGGAUUAUGGUGUUGAAGCUUAUAUAGCCUUCAUUCAUAGUAGCAGUAAAAUGUUUAUUGUGUUUGAAUGUGUUUAUAUAAGUGGACCCGUACCUGUUGGUUUGUCCCAUUAUAAGGACACUAGCUUCUUAAAUGGACAAAUUGCGUCUAGCAAUAAUGAGAUUGAGCAAUAACAGGUCUGUGAUGCCCUUAUGCCCGAGAGGUCCGGGUAAACCGCUGAACCACUUUCAUGCUUGGGAUUGUGAACUGAAACUGUUCACAUGAACUUGGAAUUCCCAGUAAGUGUGAGUCAUUAACUCGCAUUGAUUACGUCCCUGGCCUUUGUACACACCGCCCGUCGCUACUACCGAUUGAAUUAUUUAGUGAGGUCUCCGGACGUGAUCAAUUAUAUAUAUAGAAAUAUAUAAAAUUUUUCUGAAUAUAAAUGAAUAAUCAUUUAAAAACAUAUACACAUACUUAUUCC